rnacentral:ncRNA from 1 species
UUAAAAUGGCAAACCUGUCGAAAGGCAGGGGCGCAAAGCCAAGGUAUCUGUAGCGUUUAAUUAACGUAUGAUAGACCAGCCG